UUUGUCUAAGAAGAAGCAAAUUGCGAAAAAUUUUUUAAUUAUUUAUAAAUUCACCAGAGGAUGAUUUUAAAAACGGUAAAGGAAGUUAAAAACAAAUUCAAAACGGAAAGACAAUCAAACAUCCGGAAUUUUCCGGACGUAUCGUUCCUUUUCCGUUUUGAAUUUGGUUUUGUAAUAUGUUUGAAAGGAUUUCUUGUUCUUUCUAUAGUCAUUCUGUCUUUUACUUUUUUCCGUUUACUUUUAAUUAAUAUUAUCCAAUACUAAACUUAAAUUGCGAAAUUAAAUCCUGAUUGUGCAACGUGUCAAUAUUAUUAAAUUUAAGAUAAAAUUUUGGACCUUUUUUUUUUUAAAUGUUUAUAAAUUUUAUAAAUAAAUUUCACAAAGUUUUCCAUUCUUUUCAGAAAAUUAAAAACAAAAAAAAUGUAAAUAAUGUAAAGAGUAUUAUUAAAAUGACGUCAGAUCCAGCAAUUUCUUCGGCAUCUUCGGAAAGACCGCCUUUGGUAAAGAGCAUCUCUCUGGUGGCUUUGCAAUGUGCAGAGAACGAGAACAUAGAUACUUACGAUUUCGAAGCUUAUCUCAAAGUAGUUAACUGGUUAGACAAACACGUCGGUAACGAGAUGGAAAAAGAAACUAGAGCCUUUGCCUUCGGAGGAUUAUUUAGUAAAAUUAUAAAUAGAAUUAAUAAAAAUUUAAAGAAAAAUAAAAUUGCUCCUAAUGAAUGACUUUUGAAAACAAAAGAGAUUUGGAUUGUCUUAAAAUUUGAGAUAUGUGGAAGCAUUUAAUCUAUGGAUAUGAACUGUAUUUAUGAUGAAUAUUAAAAUUACUUCAAAUUUUGGGAAGUUUAGAUCCAGAACAAUUCCCAAAAUUAGUAUUAAUCUUCUCUAAGUAUAUCAAGUAUGAUCUAGAGUGUCAUUUGUUAAGUAUUAUUUAAAAGUAUUAUUAAUCAAUAUGCCAUAACAUUUUUUCUAUCCCAGUUUUGUUAAUAGACAAGUUAAA